rnacentral:lncRNA from 10 species
AUGCGCAUGUGGCUCCUGGGACUGGCUGGAGCGGGAGUUGAGCGGGAAGUCGGGGUGGGGGGUUUCAUCAUGUUGUCCAGGCUGGUCUUGAACUCCUGGGCUCAAGCAAUCAGCCCACCUCUGCCUCCCAAAGCGUUGAGAUUACAAGCGUGAGCCACCAUUCCUGGACCCUCGUAGUUUUUCUGGAGCCUCGUGAUUUGAUAUGAUCUUCCUGCCGCUGAUUCCUCACAGUGUUGGCUUGCCACACCUCCAGGGGCACUGAUCACAUUCUACCUGGCAUUAUUUCAUCUGAGUCCCUGUCCUAGCCCUUCUGCCCAUUAGACUGUAACCUUGUUUAGGGAAAGACCUGUGUCUUACUCAUCUGUGAUUUUGUUGUUGUUGUUGUUUUGAGACAGGGUCUUGCCCUGUUGCCCAGGCUGGAGAGCAGUGGUGCAAUCUUGGCUCACUGCAGCCUCAACCUGUUGGGGUCAAGCCAUCCUCCCACCUCAGCUUUCCAAGUAGCUGAGACUACAGGCCUGUGCCACCACACCCAGCUAGUUUUUUGUAUUUUUAGUAGAGAUGGGGUUUUGCCAUGUUGCCCAGGCUUCUCUUGAACUCCUGAGCUCAAGGGAUCUGCCUGCCUCGGCCUCCCAAAGUGCUGGGAUUACAGGCGUGAGCCACUGUGCCUGACCCACUCACCUGUCAUUGUAGUACUUAAGAUGCCUUGUUCAUUUAUUGUGCCUGUGCAAUAAAUACACCUUGAUUUGAGUUUACAAAGAUUCUCAGCAGUUGGUGGUCAUCCUCAUCUCCUGGGCGGGGGCCUCCUGGUGUGGCCAGUAUCUGAAUUAGUCUCAUAACUCAUGUUCACUUUUUAAAAUCGGAGCUUCCCAGACCUCAGUUUUGUUUUGUUAUUUUCCAUUAUCUGCAGCUGUCUCCUUUCCCCUCUCUCACCUAUACUCUACUGAUCAGUGACUGCUGGCUCCUUUGUUACCCAUCCUUCUCUUUCUCCACAUUUUUUCUCUUCUCAUCCCUUUCAGUUCUGGACUGUUUCCUUCUUCCUCCCUGUCUUUCAUUUAGUCAUUCAUUGAAUGUACUUACUAAGCACAUAUAGCAUAAUCAGGCUGUGUUGGGUAGGCAUCCCGAGUUCUAUGAGAUAAAGAAAGAAUGGGAUAUGAUUACCAAUUUUAAGAAGCAUCUAAAACAACCUGUUAUGUUUUAGCAAAUUGCCCCCAAAGGACCCAUUAGGGAGGAAAACGUUCAUGUCCUUUUUGCGUAUCAUCUCAAGCAGUACCCAUGAUGGCUGGGAUCCCAGAACCCACCUUUGAGAAUGCUGCCGUAUUUGCGUGUGGUUGACAAGGUUGGGCCAGACACUCAGGAAAUAGGGUUGUCGUCCUACCUCCCCCACUAACUUCCUGUAAGAACUUCAGCCCCUCUCAGGACCUUUUUCUUUACCAAUAAAAUUCAGAAAUUGGGCUCAAUCAGUAAUUCCCAAGUUAUUUUCCAAAGAACAUGAAUUUUGUGGAACUUUAAUAGAUAUCAUGCAAAAAAAAAUGUGGGAGGGAUUGUUCCAUGGUCAAAUGGUCUUGGAAAUAACUCGUUUAAACAAAAAUAAAACUGUUUCUUUACCCACAACUCUUCUCAGUGGUUUUUUGUUUGUUUGUUUGUUUUUUGAGAUGAAGUUUUGCUCUUGUCGCCCAGUUUGGAGUGUAAUGGCACUAUUUUGACUCACUGCAACCUGUGCCUCCUGGAUUCAAGUGAUUCUCCUGCCUCAGCCUCC